rnacentral:sRNA from 1 species
GUGCCCGCAAGGGUGCUAGUGGCGGACGGCUGAGUAACACGUAAGUGACCUGCCCUCCAGUGGGGAAUAACUGCUCGAAAGAGUGGCUAAUACCGCAUGGGCUUGCCGUUUCGGUAUGGCAAGCAAAGCGGCGAUGCGCUGGGGGAUGGGCUUGCGGCCGAUUAGCUAGUUGGUGGUGUAAGGGCCUACCAGGGCGAUGAUCGGUAGCUGGUCUGAGAGGAUGAUCAGCCAGACUUUUUUUCUUCUGACACGGCGAAGACUCCUACGGGUGUCCCUGUGGGUGUAUCUAGAAGUCUCCUACAAAUUC